AUCACGUGACCAGCGUUGUGAGAAUUUCCAAGAUGGAUACUUCCACGGAAUAUUAAUCCUGUGGAUAUUAACUCAGUGUCAGCAUCUUUGCCCUGCGGAACGUCCUUUAAGCUGAAGGGGAUGGCCAAGUGGGUGGUGCCCUGACACCACUGGCCGCCGAGCUGAGCUCUCUCCUGAGGACGACGCCGUCCGACCGAUGUGAAUGACGGCCCGCUGAGGGCUGCAUUAGCGAGACAGGAUGAUCAAGGAGCCGAAGGAGGCGAAGAAGGAGAAGAAGGGCGGCUCGGCGGCUGGCGCCGGCGCCGCGCCCGCCCUGGUCAAGCUGGAGCCGGUCGAGCCGGGUGCGGUCCAAGCCGAGGACGGCGCCGCGCUCAACGGCGUGGAGGCCGGCGGCGGUGGCGGGAGCGGCG